rfam:Salmo salar isolate Sally breed double haploid chromosome ssa20, whole genome shotgun sequence.
UGUCAGAUAGCUUAUCAGACUGGUGUUGACUGUUUGAAUCACAUGGCGACAACAGUCUGUAAGCUGUCUGAAG